rnacentral:rRNA from 1 species
GACGAACGCUGGCGGCGUGCUUAACACAUGCAAGUCGAACGGAAAGGCCCUGCUUUUGUGGGGUGCUCGAGUGGCGAACGGGUGAGUAACACGUGAGUAACCUGCCCUUGACUUUGGGAUAACUUCAGGAAACUGGGGCUAAUACCGGAUAGGAGCUCCUGCUGCAUGGUGGGGGUUGGAAAGUUUCGGCGGUUGGGGAUGGACUCGCGGCUUAUCAGCUUGUUGGUGGGGUAGUGGCUUACCAAGGCUUUGACGGGUAGCCGGCCUGAGAGGGUGACCGGACAAGGUGGGACGGGGGUGAGGCCCAGACUCCUACGGGAGGCAGAAGUGGGGACGAGGGCAGAGUGGGCGGGGGCCUGGUGCAGCAACGCCGCGUGGGGGAUGACGGCAUUGGGGUUGGGAACCGAUGUCGCCGGUGACGGAGCGAGAGGGACGGUAAUGGGUAAAGAAGCACCGGCUAACUACGUG